CCCGCCACUAUGCCCGUCUGACUAGUGACAGAGUAUAAUCCAGUGGAGGCUCAGAUUGACCCGGCUUUAGGAAACAGGGCUGUUCACAUAAAUGGACUGCUCUGUGCCGUAAAGUCUGGAACAUUU